CUACGUGCCAGCAGCCGCGGUAAUACGGAAGGUCCAGGCGUUAUCCGGAUUUAUUGGGUUUAAAGGGAGCGUAGGCGGAUUGUUAAGUCAGCGGUUAAAGGGUGUGGCUCAACCAUACAUUGCCGUUGAAACUGGCGAUCUUGAGUGCAGACAGGGAUGCCGGAAUUCGUGGUGUAGCGGUGAAAUGCUUAGAUAUCACGAAGAACUCCGAUUGCGAAGGCAGCUUGCGGGAGCACAACUGACGCUGAAGCUCGAAAGUGCGGGUAUCAAACAGGAUUAGAUACCCUGGUAGUCCGCACGGUAAACGAUGGAUGCCCGUUCUUCGUUCUUUUGAAUGAGGGACCAAGCGAAAGCAUUAAGCAUCCCACCUGGGGAGUACGCCGGCAACGGUGAAACUCAAAGGAAUUGACGGGGGCCCGCACAAGCGGAGGAACAUGUGGUUUAAUUCGAUGAUACGCGAGGAACCUUACCCGGGAUUGAA
rnacentral:rRNA from 1 species